UACGUAGGGUGCAAGCGUUGUCCGGAAUUAUUGGGCGUAAAGAGCUCGUAGGCGGUUCGUCGCGUCGGCUGUGAAAUCCCGAGGCUCAACCUCGGGUCUGCAGUCGAUACGGGCGGACUGGAGUUCGGCAGGGGAGACUGGAAUUCCUGGUGUAGCGGUGAAAAUGCGCAGAUAUCAGGAGGAACACCGGUGGCGAAGGCGGGGUCUCUGGGCCGAUACUGACGCUGAGGCACGAAAGCGUGGGGAGCAAACAGG
rnacentral:rRNA from 1 species